rnacentral:rRNA from 1 species
CGCUGGCGGCGUGCCUAAUACAUGCAAGUCGAACGGUCUUUCUAUGGAAGCUUGCUUCCACUGAGAAGAUAGUGGCGAACGGGUGAGUAACGACGUGGGUAACCUGCCCAUAAGAGGGGGGAUAACAUCCGGAAACGGGUGCUAAUACCGCAUAGUUUUCUUGAUCGCAUGAUCGGGAAAGGAAAGACGGCCUUUGUGCUGUCGCUUAUGGAUGGACCCGCGGCGUAUUAGUUAGUUGGUGAGGUAACGGCUCACCAAGACGAUGAUACGUAGCCGACCUGAGAGGGUGAUCGGCCACAUUGGGACUGAGACACGGCCCAAACUCCUACGGGAGGCAGCAGUAGGGAAUCUUCCGCAAUGGACGAAAGUCUGACGGAGCAACGCCGCGUGAGUGAAGAAAAGGUUUUCGGAUCGUAAAACUCUGUUGUCAGAGAAGAACAAGUUGGAGAGUAACUGCUCCAGCCUUGACGGUAUCUGACCAGAAAGCCACGGCUAACUACGUGCCAGCCGCUGC